rnacentral:rRNA from 1 species
AGUUUGAUCCUGGCUCAGGAUGAACGCUAGCGGCAGGCUUAACACAAUGCAAGUCGAGGGGGUAUAGUAGCAAUACUAGAGACCGGCGCACGGGUGCGUAACGCGUAUGCAACCUACCUUUACAGAGGGAUAGCCCAGAGAAUUGGAUUAAUACCUCAUAGUGUUAUUAGAUGGCAUCAUUUGAUAACUAAAGUUCCAACGGUAAAAGAUGGGCAUGCGUCCUAUUAGCUAGAUGGUAAGGUAACGGCUUACCAUGGCUACGAUAGGUAGGGGUCCUGAGAGGGAGAUCCCCCCACACUGGUACUGAGACACGGACCAGACUCCUACGGGAGGCAGCAGUGAGGAAUAUUGGACAAUGGGCGCAAGCCUGAUCCGGCCAUGCCGCGUGCAGGAAGAAGCAUCUAUGGUGUGUAAACUGCUUUUGUACGGGAAGAAACACUCCUACGUGUAGGAGCUUGACGGUACCGUAAGAAUAAGGAUCGGCUAACUCCGUG